AACUUGUUGUUAAAAUGAAGUUAAUGUAAUUUCACAAACAGUAGAGUUAAUGAGUUUUUCCAUUAACAAGAAUUUCUUAAAAUAAUAAUGUAUGGAUAUCAUUUGGAAAGUGACAUGAAAUGUUGUUAAAAAGUGAUGCAUACAAGUGUUUCAGAAGUCUGUCUAGGAAUAGAACAACAACUGAAGCUCAGACCAGUUGAUGGAAGAUACUGCAGAGUUUGGCAGGGAAAUAACCCAAGACAGCAAAGCGGCUCUUUUGGCGCAUUUACCAAGAGGACUAACAUGGCCACAAAUUCAUGAGAUCAUGCAGGAGCCGUACAGUAUAACAGCAGUACAAGUUCUAUAAAAGAUCCACGACCUACUGAAGCCCAGCUAAUUAACAAAAAAGUUUUUAAAAACUGUAAUUUUAUCCCACCUGGGUACUUAUAAUUUACUAAGCUGCCUACACAAGUUUUAGACUUG